UGUACUGGACAGGGCUUGGCAUGUGAAGUGUGUUCAGUGCUGUGAAUGUAAAUGCAAUUUGACAGAGAAAUGCUUUUCGCGAGAAGGCAAGCUUUACUGCAAAAACGACUUCUUUCGGUAAGUACCGCCACCGCCGCCCGGAGCCGCGGCUCUUUUCCAUCCGUUUGCCAUCUUUUCCCGUCUGUUUAUUUUUUCGCUCGCCGCAGAGCCCCGUUCUCACGGUGAUGUCGGGCCGCGCUCCGACUCCCGCCGCUCCCUGCGCUUCCGAAUCCGCCCGGAGCUGCGCGGAGCGAUGCCGGGCCGUGGCCGCGCCUCGGGGAGUCGCGCUGCGGGGAAUGCUGCGGGCCUGGGUCGCGGCCCGGUUGUGGGAGCUCCCGGCAGGGCCGAGUUCCGCAGAGCCGCUGCAGAGCCCCGGUCCGGCCCGGCCGCUCCAUCGCGCUGUGCACCAGCAGCGCAACGCGGAGCGGCCGCAGCCCGCGGGCGGCCCCGCACCUCCCGCUCCUACGCGGCCAUCGCGGCGCCGAACUCCGCUCCCGUUUCUCGGUGCCGUUAUCGGGGCACGGAGGGGAAAGCCGCCCCGGCGUUGAAUUAAUUUCCCCGGCGUUUGCCCUUGGUCCCCAUCACAGUGAUUGCGUUUCCUUUUAUCGUUUUGCAAGGUGUAAGUCGGGCGGGCAUUCGUUGGGAAAAGGGAACGGUGCGGAAGGAUGGUUUGGGGUUGGGUUUGUUUUGGUGUUUGGUUUGGUUUGGUUUUUUUUGUGUGUGUGCACGCGUUUUUGAUUUAUUUACCGUGGUUUCGGUUUGGUUUUCGUUUGUUUCGGUUCGCUGCGGUUCCGGGGCCGCUGCUCUCCCAUCGGGGCGCACGGCACUGCCCGCUCGCUGCCCCCGCACCCUCCCGACCCGCCGCCUCUCCCCGCAGGUGUUUCGGGACCAAGUGUGCGGGCUGUGCCCAGGGCAUCUCCCCCAGCGACCUGGUCCGCAGGGCGCGGAGCAAAGUGUUCCACUUGAACUGUUUUACGUGUAUGAUGUGCAACAAGCAGCUCUCCACCGGCGAGGAGCUCUAUAUCAUAGACGAAAACAAGUUCGUCUGCAAAGAAGAUUACCUAAAUAACAGCAAUACUGCCAAAGAAAACAGCCUGCAUUCAGCUACCACCGGCAGUGACCCCAGCCUGUCCCCCGACUCCCAAGACCCCUCCCAGGACGACGCCAAGGACUCGGAAAGCGCCAACGUGUCCGACAAGGAGACGGGCAGCAACGAGAACGACGACCAGAACCUGGGGGCCAAGCGGCGGGGGCCCCGCACCACCAUCAAAGCCAAACAGCUAGAGACUCUGAAGGCCGCCUUCGCGGCCACCCCCAAACCCACGCGGCACAUCAGGGAGCAGCUGGCGCAGGAGACCGGCCUCAACAUGCGCGUCAUCCAGGUGUGGUUCCAGAACCGCCGCUCUAAGGAGCGCCGCAUGAAGCAGCUGAGCGCGCUGGGCGCCCGCCGGCACGCCUUCUUCCGCAGCCCGCGCAGGAUGCGGCCGCUGGUGGACCGCCUGGAGCCCGGCGAGCUGCUCCCCAACGGGCCCUUCUCCUUCUACGGAGAUUACCAGAGCGAGUACUACGGCCCCGGGGGCAACUACGAGUUCUUCCCGCAAGGCCCGCCCUCCUCGCAGGCGCAGACGCCGGUGGAGCUGCCGUUCGGGGCGGCGGGCGGACCGCCGGGCACGCCGCUGGGCGCGUUGGAGCAUCCGCUGCCCGGGCACCACCCGCCUGGAGAGGCGCAGCGCUUCCCCGACAUGCUGGCGCACCCCGCCGGGGACUCGCCCAGCCCCGAGCCCACCCUGCCCGGCUCCCUGCACUCCAUGUCCGCGGAAGUGUUCGGCCCCAGUCCUCCGUUCUCCUCGAUAUCCGUCAACGGCGGUGCUAACUACGGCAAUCACUUGUCACACCCACCAGAAAUGAACGAAGCGGCCGUGUGGUAGCUUUAAGCGAACUGGGUCUAAGUAAGUGAUGAUCAUCUAGUCUGCUUGUUGUUACGGUGUACAGAAAUGAGUAAAUGUAACAUCUCUCCCGCCCUAAGACAAUGGCACCUUGGGAACGAACUGCGCCCGGCGGCUCCGCGCUGCUGCAGAGCGGGACGAUCCCGGUGUGCGUUUGUCACAGCCACGGGGACCUGCGUGUGCCAUGACAAAGGAACUGGUGAAGCUGUACAGUAACGCGCCGUGGGAUGGAUGGAUGAGUGUGGUUACCCCGUCGGAUGUCAUCCCGAGAGCCACAAUCCUUAGAAACUCCUCAUUUAAAAACAAACAAACAAUGAUUGAAUGGAAAGGGGGAAAAGCUGCAAGAACUCUGAGCGCUCCCGAUAAGGAUGGUUCUGGCGUUCCGCAUUUCUUUGUUCAUUUUUCUCUCUCAAAGUUCAACCACGAGAAACUCUUUAGCUUCAGCCAUUGCAGCCUGCUGAAUACCAGCAAAUUCUCAGCGUGGUUGUUCUGUUCUUAUUUCGGAGCUGACAAGGACUCGAUCGUUUGAUGUUGCAGUAUUUGUGGAGCGCUCGGCAGGGUUUGGCAGGAGAAGCACGCGGAUUUUCUGGGACAGAAAUGAACCAAAGGAGGAUUUCCUGCAGCCCGGAGCCGCGCAGGUGUGGCGGUUCUGUUACGGCUCCCUGCAGCAGUCCUGCAGCUCGGGCGGCGUUGGAGGGUUCGCUUCGGCUCUGCAGCAUCGCAGCUCAGCGCAGCGCCUUCCACCCGCUGCGAUAAUGGGAUGGCGGGGCGGUAAUUGCGUCUUUCCCUUCAUCUCUCUGCUAAUUGUGAUUCCGUCGGGCUUCUGUUUUAUUUUCUGUCGGCGCGGAAAUUCGCUGUGAGGCGCGGAUUUCUCCGCUCUCAGCACUUGGGCGCUUUUCUCUCUUUGCUCUGAACUCGCGAUGCUCUCAAGUUGUGCGAUCUGUAAUUUCAGUGGCAGUUUUGCUCCCCAUGCCGUUGCUGUGCCCCCGUCCGGGUGAAGCAAUGGUUCACCUUCAACACAAAAUGUCUUUUAUAUAUAUAUAAAUAUAUAUACUAUAAAGACAAAAAGCAGCAGGGAUCCAUUGGUAGUGUUUCUAAACAGUUUAUUAAAGGCAGGGAGACUUCUUAACCUCGAGGCUCAGCGCCUGGCUCAUCCAUUUGCCUUUUGUAUCCUUGCCGUGAUUUUUCCCUCUGUUUUGCAUUUACAUGAGCAUACAAGGGGUAAUCUCUUCAUUACAAACUUUUACUUCUCUGUGCAAACGCUGUUUAUAAAUACUGCUAUUUGUGCUACCGGUCUGUGCUGCUGUUUUAUUGUCCAAUCAAUUAUUUUAAACGAGGAUCUCAUUUUGCAGAAAUCAUGUCUGCCAACUCGUUUUUCCCUUUUUAUUUUUUUUCUCCUUUUUUUUUUUCUUUUUUUUCUUUUUUUUUUCCCCCCUGCACCGGGAUGUUCGUAUGGUUUAUUCAUGCUAAUUUAGGCAGGGAUGUGAUGUGGUUCAGUUUAGGUCACCGGUUUCUAAAGGGACGCAGGAGAGCCUGCCUUGUUCCCCACGCUGCCGCUCGCCCUCAGAGCAGCUCUGCCAUCACAAGGAGCCAACCCAGCAGUGGUUCCCAUGCUCAAAGCCAAAUGUGCCCAUCACGGCUCCCGGGAUGCAGCGUGGAGGCCCCAGCCCUUUGCAGAUUUGAAUUCUGUGCUCUUCAGAGCGGCGCUGGGUGUUUCUGAGGACCCUAAUCCAGCAACAAUCGCAGAGUCAAAACUCCUUUUGAAAUCAUUGUGGCGUCGGGUUCUUGUAAGUCCUCGUUUACAAGAGCGUUUCCAUUGACUUCAGUAGCAUUACUUGCGUGAAUGGAGGGCUGCAGGAGGAGGCCCUCGGAACACAUGUGCUGCUUGGAGGGCUUUUAGUGCGCAUAUUAAUUCUUCCACUGCAGCGAGGCGGCCGUGCCACGUCCAUGGCUGUGUGCGUGCAACGUGCUGCCCAAAGUGCGUUCAGAAUAAUGGCUCUGAUCUUUUCUCCCUCGGCUGCUCCUGGUUUUGGUGCCAUCCCCCCCCCCCAGCAGAGCGCGGUGCUGUGGGGCUGCUUGGUGCCCACACUGCAGAGCUGCCCCGGGGAGCGGGACGUCCUUUGGCACGGACGGGGAUCUCUGCAUACAUGGGCGAUGCUGAAGGUUUUGCAAUCCCACAUGUAGGACUGUACUGCUUUAUUAGGAAAAAGGACACUGGGAAGACAUUGUGAGUAUUAUUCAUGUUGAGCUCAUUUAUUUGAAGGAGAUACUUUGCAGGGUAAAGCGCCUUUAGAAUGUAGUGGGUUCACAGCACUCAGAAGCGCCGCUUCGGCCCUGCAGGGCUCCUCUCUGCCCUCCGUGCUGCUCUCCUUCCCAUUCCCACUUUGCUCAGGCCCUGGCGUGGGGAGCGGGAGGGGAUUUUAAAGCCGUGCACCCCGAGAGUAGGAAUGUACUCAAACUCAGAUUUGAGGCCAAAUGGUGUAUAUUAUUUUAAUGCGUGUAUUUGUACCCAGGCGCUGAGUGACGGGUGCAUGAUACCAAUCUAUAAAUAAAUAUAAUUUACAAGUAUCAGCGGUGAUUUACAUGCUCCUGCUAUUCUAGGAAGUGGCCUAGAGUUUUUCCCCAAGCAGGAAUGUUGUGUUUAAGCCUUGCAUGCUCAUACAUACUAAAUAUAAGCAAUCAGUCUGGCUUUCUGUUCCCAUCCCAGCAUACAGACUAAGGUAUACUUUCCUCUCUGUUCAGCACAAUCGACCGCUGUGUAUCUGUAGGGCCGAGGCAGAUUACAGAGGUGCUUUUAUUUAUGUCUGUGCUCUGUAUUCCAGAUGACCACAAGAUAUUCCUGAAGUUCUAACUAAAAUUAAUGGGACCAUUAAAGAAAUAUAUUUUGAGUACGAAUCCAUUUGGGAUUGCUGUCUGCCUCUUUCAAAACGGUAUUUGUUGUGCUUUCAGUCACAGACCCGGCUUAUGACGCCGAGUUGCUUGUUGUCUGGAGAGCUUUUCAUUCAUUAAUGGGAGGAAGGGCAGCCCUGCGUUGUGUGGCUGCUGGGCAGGAGUGUGCCGGCCGCACGGCAGCCCCAGAAGGGCAUUCUCACCGACUGCACUGUGCUUUACCCACCUAAUCCCUGAGCUGGCUGCUGCCUUGCUCCCAUUGCACACAUCCUCAGUGCAGAGGGGCAUCGCAGACCCGAGCUCAGGGCUGUGUGUGUGCUCUGAUGGUGCUCGGUGCACUCUUUGGGCAGCAUUACUGGGAGCUGUGAGAACUGGAUUGAUGUCCUGCUUGGUUUCAGUACCAGCGUGCUUCCUGCAGAACGGCCGCUGUUGGAGAGGCUGAUGGUGUCUCACUGUUUGGCACUCACUGCUCAGCUCCGUUAACGGGACGGCGGUGGUUCGAGGGCCGGAGCAGUGCUUGUGUGAGAGCUUCAGCCACACGUGUUGGGUGCGGGGAGAGGUGGAGGGGGAACCUCAGGACAGAAGCUGCUCCGUGGGGCUGGGCUGUGUGUGCUGAGGUUUCCUGCUGCUCCAGAGAGCACACACACGUGGUUCACCCUGGGAGAUUUCUCUGGGGCGAAAAAGAGGGUUUUGCUCCAUCUGAAAAGGUUCUGUGGCUGUCGCUGAGUGGCCUUAAAAUUCCUGUCUGCUAGGAGCAUCCUCAGUCCCUGUGUCUAUGCGGAUAAGCUGUAUUCAUCAUGUUUUUAGGUGUAAGAACAAUUAAGAGUUGAUCAAAUCUUGGAAACAGUUGUGGUUUUUGACUGAAUGAUCAUUAGGGAUAUUGGAAAUACUCAAAUAAAUACGAAGUACAUUAAUAAAUUCAUCUGUAAGUCGAAACAAAUAUUUAUAGGGAGAGAUUUUUAUUACAGACGUCUAAAUUCACUGCAAUGUAUUUCCUUGUAGCAGAUGGGUUUGGUGUGAGCUCUUUCCUUCUUCCCCCCAUCUCCUUCCUCUUCUUUUUCUCCUUUUUCACCAACGAAUCAAUCGCUGAUAGAAAAAGAACAUCUAAGAAUAAAAUAGUGCGGCAAAAACGAGAAAAGGACGGAUUGGAAAAUGACACUGGCUUGCCAAAAUGUAGGAAAGAGCAGCUCUGUGCUGGCUGGUGGCCGUGCUGGGGCACACAGCAUCCGUGGAUGGGUCACGUCCUGCUGCUGCCAAUGCCACACAGGGCGUGUGGGUGCUGCUGCUGCGUGGGUCUGCGUGGGACGGAUGGCUGCUUUUCUUUAUAGACGUAUUUAAGAAAUGCACUGAAAGAAAAAGAGGAUUUCUGUGAGUUACAUGUGAGGGUACAGAAACAGCAGUGUGAGCCCUUCGCUGCCGGAGCUGCCUCUGAAUCGGGCAGUUUCCUGGAAGAUGAAAUGUUCCACCAAUACGUGGGAGAAAUGCAAAGUUCUGCUUGUAGUGCGAAAGUCCCCGUGUUGAUCUGUGACGUGCGUGGGGUCUGUUCCCCUUCUAGCAGAUAAGCGUGUAAAUGAAAAGUAAAAUGAAGAGCAAGCAUGCCGAAGAAACGAUGUCGGGUAGUUUGAUGGCUCCUGCCUGUAGCUUCUAAGCUUGGAGGGCUUGGUGGGAUGCACUGCCUUGCAGGAACAGGCUUUUGUGAUGGUCUGAAAUUAAAGUGUUUGGAUGUCGUGUUUGUCCAAAAAAUGGUUAUGAACCAAAUCCACAGCAGCAUGAUUUGAGGGCACACGAACCAGAAAUUAAAACUGAGUCUGAGAGCCUGGUUUAAUGACCCCACUAAGUGGAAGGCAAAAAGAGAGAGAAUGGACUGUGAAGAAGGAGCCUGUGCAGGUGGAACAUUUCAACAACUCCGGACUUUAAUACCACAGAUUCUGCUUGAUGUCCUUAUCUGAAGCCAAUCUUUUGCUUACAGAAGUCAUGCAACUCGCUGUGCAUUGCUUAGGGAUUGCACUGGGCACGUUCUGAUGAAGCACUGCCUUUGUUGAGGGGGGAUUUAUCAUUUGUUGGGGUUGGGUCGGAAACAUCCCUUCUUCAUCCAUGAAGUGCAGAGCUUUGAAAAUGCAAUUAUGCAUGGGGCAAUCACCAGUGCUUCUGUGGUUGGCUGAGUCUGUCCCAGGAGCUGCUCAGGUAAGCAUUUGUUUCUGCUCCUUCACUUCCUCUGGAUUUAUUUCUCCUGCCUUUGUUUGUAACGGCAUCUUUUAGUCUGGAAACAACACGGCUGUGAACUUGGAGGGGAAAUAAAGCAAAGGUGGUUUGCAUCUUCUGCUUUGGAAAUCUGUGCGUAACAAUCGUGGAAGAGCCUUAAUUUCACAUCACAGCAGCAACAAGCAAACCCACCUAAAAUACAGUGCAGAGCAUUAGAGCUGUCACUCAGACCAUGAGAAAAUAAAUACAAAAUAAAGCUGAAAUGGAAUCGUAAUAUUUGACCGCAUAAAAUCCAAGGCU